rnacentral:rRNA from 1 species
UACGGGGGGGGCAAGCGUUGUUCGGAAUUACUGGGCGUAAAGGGCUCGUAGGCGGCCAACUAAGUCAGACGUGAAAUCCCUCGGCUUAACCGGGGAACUGCGUCUGAUACUGGAUGGCUUGAGUUUGGGAGAGGGAUGCGGAAUUCCAGGUGUAGCGGUGAAAUGCGCAGAUAUCAGGAAGAACACCCGUGGCUAAGGCGGCUCUCUAGUACGGUACUGACGCUGAGACGCGAAAGCGUGGGGAGCGAACAGG